GACGAACGCUGGCGGCGUGCCUAAUACAUGCAAGUAGAACGCUGAAGGAGGAGCUUGCUUCUCUGGAUGAGUUGCGAACGGGUGAGUAACGCGUAGGUAACCUGCCUGGUAGCGGGGGAUAACUAUUGGAAACGAUAGCUAAUACCGCAUAAGAGUAGAUGUCGCAUGACAUUUGCUUAAAAGGUGCAAUUGCAUCACUACCAGAUGGACCUGCGUUGUAUUAGCUAGUUGGUGAGGUAACGGCUCACCAAGGCAACGAUACAUAGCCGACCUGGGAGGGGGGUCGGCCACACUGGGACUGAGACACGGCCCAGACUCCUACGGGAGGCAGCAGUAGGGAAUCUUCGGCAAUGGACGGAAGUCUUACCGAGCAACGCCGCGUGAGUGAAGAAGGUUUUCGGAUCGUAAAGCUCUGUUGUAAGAGAGGAAAGAGUGUGAGAGUGGAAAGUUCACACUGUGACGGUAUCUUACCAGAAAGAGACGGCUAACUACGUG
rnacentral:rRNA from 1 species